rfam:Felis catus isolate Cinnamon breed Abyssinian chromosome E2, whole genome shotgun sequence.
GCCUGGGUGGCUCAGUCCGUUAAGCAUCUGACUUCAGCUCAGGUCAUGAUCUCACAGUUUGUGGGUUCAAGUCCCGCGUCAGGCU